AUCUGGCAACCCCGGCGAAUUCACUAUGCUCGAACUUGCUCAGGUAGUGCAAGAGACAAUAGAUCCAAAUGCAAAGAUAGAGUUCAGACCGAACACGGAAGAUGACCCGCAUAAAAGAAAACCUGACAUUUCUAAAGCUAAGGACCUUCUUGGUUGGGAGCCCACCGUGUCCCUUCGAAAGGGCCUUCCCCUUAUGGUUUCUGACUUUCGUCAACGCAUCUUCGGUGACUCGAAAUAUGACAUUUCCACUGCUGCCGUCCUCUCCACCACCACCACGGUCUAGUCCCUCCUUCUUAUCUCUUCUCAUACCUUUUAGAAUAAGAGAUCUCUCAAAUCACUUCCUCCCAAAGAAUAACAUUUGGUAGUUUGAAGAGAUGAGAGAAAAAAGAGGAGGGGAUCUUCCCAUCCAUCAAAACCUCUUUCUUUUCUCCCAAUUUUCACAUUUUUUAUUAUGUGGGCCUAAUUUACCUCUCUCUUCCUCUCCUGUUUUGUAUAUCUUUGCUCUAUAUUAUUUAUGAAACUCUCCUCUCUUUUUUUUAUUUCACUUCUUCCCAUAUACAUUAUAUUUAUACCUUUCUUUUUGUUAAAUUAUAAAUAUGAACUUUUGUAGUUAUAUAUAUAUAUGUUUGAUCAAUCUACCAUUCUUCUCGUUUCAUGAAUAUAUAAAUCUAUAAAAUUUUGAACAUGUAUAUCUCCAAGAUUUUAACUUCGUGUCUAUGUGAAAAGUUAUUUGUAACUAUUUGUGUACCAAAGAAAGAAAUGCAAUAACUAGUCUUGCUCGUUUGUUAAUUAGUUAUUGUCACCAAUAUGUGAUCAAUAUAUGUUAGUAUAUAUAGUUUAUCAACAAUAAUUGACACGCCUUUCUUUUUUUAUGAUCAGUAGUUUAAAUCCA